AUGGCUCAGGAUGAACGCUAGCUACAGGCUUAACACAUGCAAGUCGAGGGGCAGCAUUGGGAUAGCUUGCUAUUCAGAUGGCGACCGGCGCACGGGUGAGUAACGCGUAUCCAACCUUCCUGCCAGUAGGGAACAGCCCGGCGAAAGUCGGAUUAAUGCCCUAUGUUCUUCAAUGCGGACAUCUAAGUUGAAGGAAAGAUUCAUCGCUGGCAGAUGGGGAUGCGUCCGAUUAGCUUGCCGGCGGGGUAACGGCCCACCGGGGCGACGAUCGGUAGGGGUUCUGAGAGGAAGGUCCCCCACACUGGUACUGAGACACGGACCAGACUCCUACGGGAGGCAGCAGUGAGGAAUAUUGGUCAAUGGGCGUAAGCCUGAACCAGCCAAGUAGCGUGCAGGAAUGACGGCCCUACGGGUUGUAAACUGCUUUUAUGCGGGGAUAAAGUGCGGCACGUGUGCCGCUUUGCAGGUACCGCAUGAAUAAGGACCGGCUAAUUCCGUGCCAGCAGCAGC
rnacentral:rRNA from 1 species